CCCCGCAGCGGGCUCCCGGCUCGGGCCCGCGUUCCGCAUCCCCCGUGGAGGCAGUUCUCCCGUGGGGUUUUAAUCCUUCACCCCCGGCAUUUGGAGGGAGAAAUGGUUUGCAUAUUUUUCCCAAUAAGGCGCACGCCGCAAAGACUUUCCCACUGCGGACGCGAUCGCUCCUACGGUUAUUUUUACGCCGCUGCCUCCCCAGAAAAACGAGUGCGGUGCCCGGGCAGGCCGGGCCGGAGCCAUGCGGGACACGCAGGGUCACCCGCGGCUUCUCUAGCGCCCGCUCCUCUCGGCGGUCCCGUACGCUCCCGGCAGUCCCAGCCCCAAACGCUCCCCGGCCGCUGACAUCGAAAACCGGCGGGGGUUCCCCUUUCGCUCUUGGACGGCCAGACCCUGUUGGUGAGGGACUCCCGGGGACGCGUCCCGGGUGGGUCCCAGGCGGGCGGGAGCGCAGGGCCCCGCAGGUCCGGCCCAGCUCCCCACGUCCGUCGGGCCGCCUCCGCCCGGGCAGCCGGCACUGGGCAUUUCUGGUCUACUGGAAGAUAACUUAGGAUCCUCCUAGUUAUUUAACUUGGCAGCUGCUUAAACUCCACAGUGGAAGCUGCCGAAAGUUAUUAGCGUUAUGCUUCAAUCUCCCCGAAAUGGUGGCUUUUAUUUCUAUGCUGCUUUGCUUUCUAUAGGUAUUUUUCUAAAUACUUUUUUCCCAAUUUUUUUUUCCUUAUAAUUUUUUAAUAGAAGGUGAUGGACUGCCGGGUGAGCCACCAGCCCAGGCACUUAGGAUCGGGCUGUCUUUGUAAGCCAGGGUGGGGGAGCAGCUUUUUCUGUGGCUUUGCAGCUUUUUCAAAGGUGCGCUGGAGAGGCCCACGGCUGGGCUGGGAGGAGGGCUGGGCUGCGGAGCUGCCCGGCCCUGGCCCCACCGUGCUGGAUUUGGGUCUGUCUCCAUACAAGGCAGUAAUUACGACCUGAAAGGGUCAGCCCAGGGAUGCUCCCAAGGUGUUUGGUCGCAGGUCGGUUUGCAAUGGUCAGAGACAGACACUGUUUGAACAAAUUAAUGAGCGACGAACAGAGAAGUCAGGGUAGCAAAGUUUGGGGCAGGGAUGAAGCGAGGGUUGUUACCCACGUGAAUCUUUCCCGUUAUUCCUUAAACCGCAAUACUUUGUACAACGGGAGCAGUACCCCUGCAGUACUGUGUGCCUUAGUUCCCAUGGGCAGUCCAUCCUAUCCUGCAGGGCCCAUAGCAUCGGUAGGGUGACCCUGCUGCCCUGUCACCCAACGGAGACUGCCACACUGGGGCAGGGGUAGUGCCUGGCAAGGCCACCUUGGAUGGAGCAGAGGCUUUGAGACCCUCCAGAAUAUUUUUUGCAUCCCUUUUAUUGAGUUAUGUACGUUCCUGCCUAUCUCUAGGCAGAUAAUUUUAUUUUGUAUUUUCGGAUUUUUUUUUUUUUUAAUUAGGGACCUAAGUUUUUGGACCACUGUACAGAUCCCAGAGGACCUGUAGUUAGUAGGGAUUUUGGAAGCAAACUGGCUCAGAGUCCUUGCAUGGCUGUGCUGGUCUACUCUGUCAGUGAUGGCAGGAGUAGAAAACAUCGAUGUUUUCAACCUGAAUUCAGUUUUAAAAGCUGGUAUCUGACCUGCUUCUAAAGCUGUUUGAAAUCUAGUCCCACUGCAGAGCAACUGGCAGGGCACUGUGGCAGGAGCUGCACAGAGUGCCUCGAUGACAAUCAAAUGGGCUUAUGUAAUUCUAAAAAUGGCAACUCCUUACUUGCCACAUCUCUUUCUGUCUAUGCGGAGAGUCCUGCAGAGCUGCCAAACAGAAGCAAUUGAAUGAACUCUUUUCCCGGCUCAUUCCUUCUUCCGCAGCUCAGAGAAAGUGAGCCAGAGCUUAUUCUAGUUUGCCUGUCAACAGGAAUGGUAACUAACGGUUCGAUCCCAGCCAGGCUUUAUGCCCCAAAAACGCUGCCUGCCUGCCUGCCUGUGAGGAGCGGAGAGAGACAUCAUGAGGGAAAUCUAGUUCCUGGUGUGAGACUGGUCUAGCCCAGGAGGCAGGCGAGGAGUCGGUGGAAUCCACACCAUAUCCAAAGCCAACCUGGCCAAUAAGGCAAGGAAGAAACUGUUGAAAGGGUGUCCCCAUCUGCUGCAGAGCUGGACUCCAAGUGGAGUGGUAUGGAGGUGGCAGCGGAUGGCAGCAUGUUGUCCCCUUCCUCUGGGGUGUGUGGGACUGGCUGGACUGCAGCGUUCCUGUCCCUCAUGGUAGCUAAGUCAGAGAGAGCCUGGCAAGACUCCCAGAUUGACGAGUGAAAGUGCUGCUGUGCUGCUUGGGCACAAGAAAAGGGCUGAUUUAAUUCCAGAAGACAUGAUCUAGAAGAACCACAAAACAUCCCCUCAACAAUGAGAACCCAAACUAAAAAUCCAGACCUCGUUACUGGAGGAAAAAACUUCAAUGCACAACCCAAGUAUUUCCUGAAUGUUCAAGAAUACCCAGAACUUAUGUAAAAAUAAAUGAUAAUUUAUUGAUUUGAUUUAA